GGUCCUUUGUAUACAUUAUUUCUAUCUUUGUAAAUUCUGUAAUUAGGAGUUUGUUACAGAACAACCAAUAACAGUAUGGACAAGAGUACAGUUGGUUACUCUUCUUUGUCUAUAUAUAUUUAGCAAUGCAGAUGAUAUCAAGUACACUUCUUCUCUUUCACAAAAUGCAACCCAUUCGUUGCACAAUCUCGCCCGGCGUUCCAGGUCCUCGCUGCAAAAAAGUAUAACAAGUUUCUUACAAAGUUGUAGGGAAAACAAGCUUUUAAUUUGUUGAUGAGUGGGUUCGUCUCUAGUUCAAGCUGGUGAACACGAAUUUGGUGUGUAGAGUUUAUCAAACUCCUAUCUCCUCCAUGGACAUGCCGGUUUCCUACUGUUCUCAACGUGAACACGGUGAUCAUGAAUGCAAUAAUAAAGAUGAGCAGAAUGACAGUGACAUGCUGUCAACCCUUUCCAAAGAAAAAGGUUGGAGAACUGAGCAUCUUUACCAAUAUAAGUCCUUUUGGUUCACUUCGGAAGCUGUUGAAAUGGUUAAGAGGGCGCAACAAUACUUCAAAGCUCAACCCACCGAUAUUCUUCUAGCUACUUUCCCAAAUCAGGAACAACAUGGUUGCAAAAUCGUGUAUGUUUACCGAGAGACAAAGGAUGUUUUCGUUUCAAAUUGGCAUUAUAUGAAGAAGCUAAGGCCCAAACAGCUGCCUUCUUUUCCAAUCGAAGAUGCAUUUGGUCUGUUUUGCAAAGGUGUAUCACAUUUUGGACCCAUUUGGGAUCAUGUUUCGGGUUAUUGGAAGGCAUUCUCUUCUUGACUUACGAGGACAGGAAGACAGACCCCGUUGUCUGUCUUACCAAAUUGGCCAAGUUCUUGGAUAAGCCAUUUUGCUUAGAAGAAGAGACACAAGGGGCUGUGCAGGAGAUUUUAAGGCUUUGUAGCUUUGAGAAUCUGAGCAGUUUGAAAGUGAACCAGACGGGAGUGCAACAUUUCAGUCCACAACUUGCUGUGGAGAACCGGCAUUUCUUGAGGAAAGGUCAAGUUGGAGAUUGGAGAAACCAUAUAACGCUGGAGAUGGCUGCACAGUUGGAUGAAAUCACUAGGCAGAAACUUCAUGGGACUAGUUUGAUUGAAACUUUGUUUGUCGAUACAAUUCCUUAUAGCACCAAGGCAUAAGUUACCCAUUUACUGUCUAUAAUCUGAACUUUUUCCAUAUGCAAAUAUGAUUGUUCUGCAGCUGGAGUAGUUAAAUGAUUUUAUCCCAUUGAACUUUCA